CUGAAUGUAUGUCGGUUUUAGGGGCAUGGUUCCGAAUACGAGCUGAUAGGUGACUGGCGGCCAUUAUGUUGACGCCUGACCCGGUGUCGCAAAGCAUCUUCUGGAAGUUGUAUCCAUCAAUGGAGCACUGGAUGCUUGGCAUACUUGGGUCGUCCUUUUUGGUUAGGAACGGUGACUUAAGUCGACGAUCUUGACCUCCUUGAACUGCAGUGACCAUCUUUGCUGACUUGGUCCACAUUUGCUUGUUCCUGUUCCUCCUGUUGGUCCU
rnacentral:lncRNA from 1 species